rnacentral:rRNA from 1 species
CCUACGGGUGGCAGCAGUGAGGAAUAUUGGUCAAUGGACGCGAGUCUGAACCAGCCAAGCCGCGUGAAGGAUGACGGCUCUAUGAGUUGUAAACUUCUUUUGUAAGGGAAUAAAGACCGGUACGUGUACCUGGUUGAAAGUAUCUUACGAAUAAGGAUCGGCUAACUCCGUGCCAGCAGCCGCGGUAAUACGGAGGAUUCAAGCGUUAUCCGGAUUUAUUGGGUUUAAAGGGUGCGUAGGUGGUUCGAUAAGUCAGAUGUGAAAGUCUGGGGCUCAACCCCGGCAUUGCCAUUGAUACUGGCAGGCUUGAGUUCAGUUGAGGUAGGCGGAAUGCGUGGUGUAGCGGUGAAAUGCAUAGAGAUCACGCAGAACUCCGAUUGCGAAGGCAGCCUACCAAACUACCACUGACGUUGAGGCACGAAAGCGUGGGUAGCAAACAGGAUUAGAUACCCUUGUAGUC